rnacentral:rRNA from 1 species
CACGUAGGGGGCGAGCGUUGUCCGGAAUCAUUGGGCGUAAAGAGCUCGUAGGCGGUGUGUCGCGUCGGCCGUGAAAACCUGCAGCUUAACUGUGGGCUUGCGGUCGAUACGGGCAUCACUGGAGUUCGGCAGGGGAGACUGGAAUUCCUGGUGUAGCGGUGAAAUGCGCAGAUAUCAGGAGGAACACCGGUGGCGAAGGCGGGUCUCUGGGCCGAUACUGACGCUGAGGAGCGAAAGCGUGGGGAGCGAACAGG